rnacentral:rRNA from 1 species
GACAGAGGUGCCGAGCGUUAGGCGGAAUCACUGGGCUUAAAGCGUGUGUAGGCGGUUCUGUAAGUACUUUGUGAAAUCCCACGGCUCAACCGUGGAACUGCUUGGUAUACUGCGGGUCUUGAGCCACCUAGGGGCAAGUGGAACAAACGGUGGAGCGGUGAAAUGCGUAGAUAUCGUUUGGAACGCCAAUGGUGAAAACAACUUGCUGGGGGUGUGCUGACGCUGAGACACGAAAGCCAGGGGAGCAAACGGG